rfam:Gossypium raimondii Chr02_contig_28, whole genome shotgun sequence.
UGUUAAAAAUUUGAUCCAUUUGUAUUAAUAAAAACUGACGUAGCUAACGAAAUAACCAAACUUUAAUAUGUGACAUGUCAUGUGUACCUCAUGUUGACGUAUAAAGACAAAAUUUUAACAACAGAAAUAGGUGAAAUUUUUAAUA